CUGGAACAUGUUUUCCUCCAGGAUUUUGCCUUGGAUUAGCUCACUCCGUUUAUUUGUAUAUUUUUUUCUCCUGACAACCACUAUGUUGAAAGGAAAUUCUGGAGGAGUUCUGAUUCUUUUCUUUUUUCCGGUCUGAAGCAGCGUUCGUCAUCAAGGGUUCCAAACAGGUGGAGGUAUUGGGGGCGUUGGUCAGACUGGUGGUGUUGGCAAGGAGCAAGCUUGGUCAUCAGGCAGAAUGUUGGCACCUGUAUGAGUGGAACAGAGGAGCCUCAGUUCUGGUUCUCUUUCCUGAGACGACAACCACAGGAUGGAGGCUUAAUAGGAGUGGAUGGAAACAGCUGGAUCCGACCAGCCAAGCCUCUUACAGAUACCGAGAGAGUGAGAGGGAGACUGUCUUGCUCUGAUUGGGUCAGACUGGCCAUGCCUCGUGCUUCAGAAGCCUGAUUGAUAGAGGGUGAUGAGACUGUCACAGAGGAAGAAGACUAGGAUGGACUGGAUAGGAAAGCUGGUUGCCGAGGAGGAUGGAUUUAAAACAUGAGACGAAUGAAGUAGGGGAAUGAAGUGGCCGGCUGUAUUGGGCCUCAGACUUGUGAAGAAUUAACUGCGCAGUUGGGAGACAUGUUGAGGCCACUUUUAGUAAAUCGUUCAACAACUUUCAUAAUUGUUCCCAGUUAUAUAUCAAAAGAAAACUCUAUUACUGUGUAACAGAUUGACAUCUAAGGUACUAAACUGCCUUUAUGGGUUGCUGUCUGAACAUAUGCUUUGGACAUCAUGUUAAGGGAUAGAGAAUUGUGGACACAUUGAACGUUGGCAGGACUACUAGAGUGGUGCUAAAUCUCUGUACUAGGAUUUCCACUGUUAGUGAUUUCAAACUCAAUAAAGGCCCCGUG
ensembl:lncRNA